GAUGAACGCUAGCUACAGGCUUAACACAUGCAAGUCGAGGGGCAUCAUGGCGGUCGCUUGCGACCGCUGAUGGCGACCGGCGCACGGGUGCGUAACGCGUAUCGAACCUGCCGCAUACCCGGGGAUAGCCUUGCGAAAGCAAGAUUAAUACCCGAUGGCAUAGUUCUUCCGCAUGGUAGGACUAUUAAAGAAUUUCGGUCAUCGAUGGGGAUGCGUUCCAUUAGCUUGUUGGCGGGGUAACGGCCCACCAAGGCAUCGAUGGAUAGGGGUUCUGAGAGGAAGGUCCCCCACAUUGGAACUGAGACACGGUCCAA
rnacentral:rRNA from 1 species